rnacentral:rRNA from 1 species
UACGAAGGGGGCUAGCGUUGUUCGGAAUUACUGGGCGUAAAGCGUGCGCAGGCGGCUUCUCAAGUCAGGGGUGAAAGCCCAGAGCUCAACUCUGGAAUUGCCUUUGAGACUGAGUGGCUUGAGUACGAGAGAGGUGAGUGGAAUUCCCAGUGUAGAGGUGAAAUUCGUAGAUAUCAGGAGGAACACCGGUGGUGUAAACGGCUUUCUGGACCAUAACUGACACUGAGGCACGAAAGCGUGGGUAGCAAACAGG